rnacentral:lncRNA from 1 species
GCAUGUAUUUGUAACAUACAAUUUUUAAAAAGGGAUGGUUAGUACUCAGCAUACACAAGAAAUCAUAAAGAUAAAUGAAAAAAGGCAAAUAGCCUGGUAAGAAAAAAGUGGGCACAGAUGUGAACGUGCACCUCACAGGAAACCCUAUCCAAAUGGCUAACGUAUAAAACGCAGAAAUGUUCCACCUCAUUGUCCACUGGGGAAUACAAAUUAAUAUCACAGUGAGACAGAGCUACACAGCCAUGUGACUGAUCAGAAUAUCAAAGACUAACAAUUCUAAGUGUUGGCUGUGAUGUGGAAAUUCAGAAACUUACACUCCCGAUGACAAGAAUGGCGCUGGCACACCUGCUUUGGAAAACAGUGGCAUUAUCAGAGUUCCCUGGUGGUACAGUGGAGUUAAGGAUCCGGCAUUGUCACCCAUGUGGCUCAAGUCGCUGCUGUGGUACAGGUUUGAUCGCUGGCCCAGGGACUUCUGCGAGCAGCUAAAAAAAAAAAAAAAGAAAAAGAAAAGAAAAUGCUUUUUAAAAAACUACCCAAACCCCACAUGUUUCUAAGAUGCAAUAAACAUUUGAUGAUAUAGUAAAUGGACAAAUCCAACUAUUCAACACACUAUGCACACUCAUUAUCAGAAAUAAGCUUUGAUCUUGUUAUCCACCUUUCAUUAAUUCUGGAUUUCAUCAAGACCGAAGCCCAAGUGGCUUUUAACCAGCACCAGAGACCAGAGAUACUUGAGGCUAAUUUGCAUCUCCUUUGGUCUACUCAGACCUUAAUAAAAUGAUGGCACCUUCAUUAUGAUGAAAGAGGAAUUAGAGAUACAAAAUUCCAGGGCCUCAGAAAGAGUAAAGAAAAGAUCUCAACAUAAGAACAAAGAAGAACAAAUGGCCUAGAUUCCACCCCUGCUGACCUGGAGGCCGUGAUUUACCUGAUUUGGGUCUUCACAGUUACAAGUUCCAUAAAUGUAUUUCACAAGCUUGGUAUAUUUAGCUACCCUUUGGAGGUAUGUGAGUUAUACAUAGUAGUAGUCAGCAAUUUUGUUAGGACUUUGCUGAUUUGGUGUUUUGGAGAAGUGUUGAGUUUUAUUUUAGAAAAUCUAUUAGGAAAAAUGUUCAUAUAAGCCAAUUACUUACAUAAAUGAGAUUUCAGAAAGAAUGCUUAAACAGGGUUUCCAAAUAGUCUAAACAGCUUUAGAAAAGUGAAGAAGGUGUAUUCCAGGAACAAAUUAUAAUUAUAAUAGCAUCAACCCCCCCUCCUCCACGAAGCAAUAGGCUAUGAAUUUUAGCAGACUGCUUAUGAUCAUUAGCAGUGAUUAAGAAUCAGCAUGGUGGGAGUUCUCCUUGUGGCUCAGCAGAAGUGAAUCCAACUAGUAUUCUUGAGGCUCCCUGGCCUUGCUCAGUGGGUUAAGGGUCCGGCAUUGCUGUGGCUGUGGUGUAGGCCAGCAGCUUUAGCUCUGAUUCCACCCCUAGUCUGGGAACUCCAUAUGCCGCAAGUGCGGCCCUAAACGGCAAGGGAAAAAAAAAAAAGAAUUAGCAUGGUUUUAUAGGGAAAGUUUUUCUCAUUAACCUCAUUUCCAUUUUUAAGAGAGGUACUAAGUUCAUGGAUAAAGAGAAUGUUACAGACAUGCCACAUCUCAAUUUCCACGUUGCAUGAGUGCUGGUUCAAUGAAGAAAUUAAAUACGUUUUUUAAGAGCUGUGUGGUUAAUGAAACUGUCGUGCCAAACUCAAUGACCUCAGUUCAUCAGCCUGCCCCUUAUAAUUCUUGAUUAAUACCUGGGUUGAGAGGAAGAAAAUGUACUUAUCAACUGUACAGGUGACCCAGAACUGGAGGAAGAGUUGACACGUUGCACUGCACACUCACAUGUAGAAGGAUUUAAACGUGUUCCAAAAGGGGAUCGAAACAGUUGAAAACCAGUAGGUUAGAAAAAGUUCUGCAGCACAAGUUCAGGAUUGAGACGAUCUGACUGGAGUAUUUGCCCAGCUAUAAACUCAGGGCAGAAUCUUUCUGCCUCCAUCGCCAUUGCCAAGCAGGCGUGGCAGACUGCACAGUCCCCCACAGCAGAGUGACACCCAGGUACAAGUGGGUACUAAAUGCCAUGAGGACCUAAACAGGGAGACGUGCUAGGUGGGAUUCCCAGGUGGCUCCCAGGACUCUCAAUUGCUGUGUGCAUCCUGCACAGCCCCUUGCCUGUGAGUCUGGGCGGGCCCAGAAAUGGGAUGGACUUCCUUCCGGCAAUUGGGUAAAAGGAGCAAGAGCUUUUGCAGAGACAGUGAAGGUCCCAGACCAGCUGACUUGGAGUUCAUCUAAAGGGGUUAUCCUGGAUGGGGUGUCUUAAUCAGAUGAACCCUCAAAAGGGACCAGACCUUCAUAAGGAAGAGAUUUGAAGUACAAAUGAUUCUCCCGAUGGCUUUGAAAAAGUACGGAGAACAAAUGCAGGAGCGAGAAGCCCAUGUGGCCCAACUCUGGCAUUUUCUCCUCAUAGCCUGCAGGUCCUAUUGCCAUGCAAUGAAAAAAAAAGUCUCUCUUUGCCCAGAAAGGAAGGGCAGUUUAACUUCUGGCAGGCCGUGGUGGAACUAUAACCUUCCCAGGUGCCUGGCGAGCAGAAAGAAGUGGUUCCAUUAUCUUCACCAUCCUUCGGAGACAGGGAGGAGAUGCAGGCUCUGAGGUCUAGACCCACACAUCCUGCCUGCCAGGUGUGUAGACCUGGGAGCUUCUGCAUCCAGAGCUAAGAAGAGGGGCCCAGACUGGACGUGGCUGUAGGAGGCACCCGCAUAUGGGUGGUAAUUGAAUUCGAAGUAAAUUUUUCGUCGCCCAGGAAGAGUGUCAACAGGAAGAACAAAAAUGUGCCAAAGAGUCCUGGAAAACACCUGUUUUUUUUUUUUUUUGUUUUUUGUUUUUUAAGAUUUCUUUCUUUCUCUUUCUCUCUCUCUUUCUUUCUUUCUUCCUUUCUUUUUUCUUUUCUUUUCUUUCUUUCUUUCUGUCUUUCUUUUUUCAUUCUUUUCUUUUUUUCUUUCUUUCUGGUUAUCCAUUUCUUUUUUUAAUUUUUUGCCAUGACUUGUUGCGGCUUCCUCACCCAUUUAAGCAACAGCCAGCAAAGAGCAGAGCUGACUGAGGCGGAGCUGCCGUCCAGGGGCAGGAAGGAAAUGGGGAGGGAGUGCUGUCCGGAGCAGGGAACAGAGGAGAGAGGAAGGGAGGUCAGUGGCCCUGACCACGGCCGAGAGCCAAGUUCAGUGCACAUCCGAGACGGGCUUACUCAAGGUUGAGAAGGUCUUUGGAAAUCUUGGCCAGGGCGGUUUCGGAGGCGUGGUGGGGCCGGAGCAGAGUCAGGUAUUGGAGGGUAAUACAAUACAGGGUAUGGGCGAGAAUCAUUCUUUCCAGAGCUUUGUGCCUGGUGGGGAGAGACAGGAGGAGACGGACUGUGAGCGGGGAACGAGGGCUUGGUUUGAAUCCUGAGGGGAAGGAAGGAGUCCAUACAGAUGGAGAGGCUCUGGGUGCAAAACAGAAAUCAUAACGUGUUUUUUCUCUUGCGUAUCUAAAAACUUCCUCCAGCACCUACUGAGUAUGAGGCCCCCGGCUGCGUGGUGACUGUGGAGGGCCAGGGCUGGAGAAAGGCUGCAUGUCGAGUUUAAUGAUUUUUCCAGCCUAUUCUUAGAAACGUCUUCAAAGCUGUGCUAACAGGUUGGCUCUGGCUGAUAAGGUGCCAUCGCCCCUUGCCUCUGAUGUUAUGUGGUGCUCAGUCUUCUAGACAUUGUUCCACUAAUUGGCUUCCCGGAGCUGCUUGCUCGGCUGUGCCAAGGGCGAUUAACAGACUGUGCUGAUGCGGCUCCCAGCCCUCGCGAGGGGCAGCACGUGAGCCCGUCCUUGGGAAGCUGGAGGCCAGAGAGUGUCCUUCCGAAGGCCGGAGCAUCCCAUGGUUCCGGAGCCCUGAGGCUAAAUUCCACGCGAGGGCCCUUGUGCUUUAUUUUCCUCUAGGUUGACCCAUCCUGGGAGAGACUUGGGACAAAGCACCAUUGUUUAGCUUGUGGAUGCAAGAAACAGAAAAAAAAAAGCGUAGUUAAGAAGGGAACAGGACAUUCUAAGCUUGGGCUUCUCAACUAUCUGUAACAAAGGUUUAUUUUGUUUAAUUUCUUGGUCUAGACUAAUGCUGACUCUCACUUCCUGUCAUUGGAACCAUAACACAUUGUUCACGGACCUGCCCUAGUUCAAAGUCCAUGCUUUGGUCAAUUUCUCCUACUAAUAAUGAUGCUAACGUAGGCACUUUAUGCAUGCCCAGGUUAGGGUGGUCAGCCGGCUUCACCUUUGGAGCCCCAGGAGCCCGGGUCAGAGGCUUCUCAACUCUCUUCCCUGCAGGAUUGAGUGUGUACCUUCCAGUGGGUUUCCCCGGAAACAGGCCCCCAGACAAGGAUGCGAGUGCUAGAUUAUGGGGACAUGAUCCCAGAAAGUAUUGUUAAGAGAUUGGGAAAGUGACAGAGCUCCUGCUGUGGCGAAACAGGCUCGGUGGCAUCUCGGGAGCACUGGGACGCAGGUUUAAUCCCCAGCCCAGCACAGUGGGUGAAGGAUAUGGCAUUGCCUCAGCUACAGCUUAGGUUGCAGUUGUGGCUUGGAUCCAAUACCUGGCCUAGAAACUGCACGUGCGUGGGUCAACCAAAAAAAAAAGAAAGAAAGAAAAAAGUAGACAGAGAAAAAAGAUUGGGAAAGUGAAAUGAGGCUGGGAAGAAGUCACUAUAGGGGCAUGAUAAGCAAAUCCUGGGGGUGACUGGUCUCCAUCCUGCCGGGGAUGUUCUGAGAGAGCAGGGGACACUCACCUGGAGUCAGCCUGCUCAGGGCACAAGGAGCGUCGGUGCAGGGGCACCGCUGCCAGGUCAUUCCUCCUUCCCUCCCCACCUCCUGCCUGCAGGCUCCAGGGGGCAGAGACAGCCUCCAGGCAAGGACCUGCAGGGGGCUGGGGCUAGAACAGCCGGAUAAGGGCGGGGGUCAGCAGCCUCCCUCUGCAAUCCACUCAUGCCAGCGUGUGCCUUUUGCUCUGUGCCCCCCUCAGUGCUGUGUGAUGAUCUGGCCCCUCGUUUCUCUCCCCUCCGAAGGCUCGGACCUCCGAAGGCAGAUCUCUGAACCUCACGGUAGGGUUCUUUAGCAGCCAGAAGAUGAAGAAUGCGUGACUCUGACCCUCCCAACACGCCAGGGUGGGAUCGCUCUUCGCCCCAUUUUCCAGGUGAGGAAACCAAGGCUCUGAGACGGCUGUGGUUGUGUAGCUAACCGUAACCACGACGGCUAACCAGUGGCAGACUCAGGUCUCCCAACUCCAAAUCCCGGGUGUUUUUCCUUGUGAUUACAGCCAGCUAGAAUUUUUAUUUCCAUUAGUUACCACCAUGCUGCCCCAACAUACACACCUACACACACCAUUGACUCCCAAUCUCUACAUACUUGGUACCUUUUUAUUUUUAAUUAAUUAAUUUAUUUAUUUAUUUAUUUUAGGGCUGCACCUGUGGCAUAUGCACGUUCCCAGGCUAGGGGUCAAAUCAGAGCUGCAGCUGCAGGCCUACACCACAGCCACAGCAGUGCCAGGUCUGAGCCGAGUCUUCGGCCUACACUGCAGCUCACAGCAGUGCUGGACCCUCAGUCCACUGAUUGAGUGCUGGACCCUCAGUCCACCCUCAGUCCACUGAUUCCAAGGGUCGAACCCACAUGCUCAUGGAUCCUAGUUGAGUUCCUUACAACCAGUAACAGGAGUGUUAAUAGAUACGUACAAGUUGCAAACCCCCAGGGUCUAUGGAGUUGUCUAUUCUAAGGCCAUUCAGAAUGGCCCCAGAUGGAUUUCACAGUAUAAAAGAAAGGCAAGGAGGAGUUCCCACUGUGGCAUAACGGGAUUCGAGGUGUCUUGGGAGCGCUGGGACACAGGUUUGAUCCUGGCACAGUGGGUUAAGGAACCAGCGUUGCCACACCUGCGGGGUAGCUCAUAACUGAUGCUCGUAUCUGAUCCCUGGCCUGGGAACUCCGUGAGCCUCGGGGCGGCCAAAAAAGAAAAAAAA